rnacentral:rRNA from 1 species
UACAGAGGGUGCAAGCGUUGUUCGGAAUUAUUGGGCGUAAAGCGCGUGUAGGCGGCUUUGCAAGUCGGGUGUGAAAGCCCUCAGCUCAACUGAGGAAGUGCGCCCGAAACUGCAGAGCUUGAGUGCCGGAGAGGGUGGCGGAAUUCCCCAAGUAGAGGUGAAAUUCGUAGAUAUGGGGAGGAACACCGGGUGGCGAAGGCGGC